UACGUAGGGUGCAAGCGUUAAUCGGAAUUACUGGGCGUAAAGCGUGCGCAGGCGGUUGUGCAAGACCGAUGUGAAAUCCCCGGGCUUAACCUGGGAAUGGCAUUGGUGACUGCACGGCUAGAGUGUGUCAGAGGGGGGUAGAAUUCCACGUGUAGCAGUGAAAUGCGUAGAUAUCUGGAGGAACACCGGUGGCGAAGGCGGCAUCCUGGACCGGCAUUGACGCUGAGGCGCGAAAGCCAGGGGAGCAAACGGG
rnacentral:rRNA from 1 species